AUUGAACGCUGGCGGCAUGCCUUACACAUGCAAGUCGAACGGCAGCACGGGUGCUUGCACCUGGUGGCGAGUGGCGAACGGGUGAGUAAUAUAUCGGAACGUACCUUAUUGUGGGGGAUAACGCAGCGAAAGCUGUGCUAAUACCGCAUAAUCCCUAAGGGGGAAAGCGGGGGACCGUAAGGCCUCGCGCAAUUAGAGCGGCCGAUACCUGAUUAGCUAGUUGGUGAGGUGAAGGCUCACCAAGGCAACGAUCAGUAGCUGGUCUGAGAGGACGAUCAGCCACACUGGGACUGAGACACGGCCCAGACUCCCACGGGAGGCAGCAGUGGGGAAUUUUGGACAAUGGGGGCAACCCUGAUCCAGCAAUGCCGCGUGAGUGAAGAAGGCCUUCGGGUUGUAAAGCUCUUUUGUCAGGGAAGAAACAGCAGCUCUAACACAGUAUGCGAAUGACGGUACCUGAAGAAUAAGCACCGGCUAACUACGUGCCAGCCGCCGCAGUAA
rnacentral:rRNA from 1 species